rnacentral:tRNA from 1 species
ACCUGGCUGGCUUAGUCAGUGGAGCAUAUGACUCUUGAUCUCAGGGUUGUGGGUUUGAGCCCCACGUUGGGUA